rnacentral:rRNA from 1 species
UACGUAGGGAGCAAGCGUUGUUCGGAUUCAUUGGGCGUAAAGGGUGCGUAGGUGGCGGGGUAAGUCAGGUGUGAAAUCUCGGGGCUCAACCCCGAAACUGCACUUGAUACUGCCUUGCUCGAGUACUGGAGAGGAGAUUGGAAUUUACGGUGUAGCAGUGAAAUGCGUAGAUAUCGUAAGGAAGACCAGUGGCGAAGGCGAAUCUCUGGACAGUUACUGACACUGAGGCACGAAGGCCAGGGGAGCAAACGGG